UACGUAGGGUGCAAGCGUUGUCCGGAAUUAUUGGGCGUAAAGAGCUCGUAGGCGGUUUGUCGCGUCUGCUGUGAAAUCUGGGGGCUCAACCCCCAGCCUGCAGUGGGUACGGGCAGACUAGAGUGCGGUAGGGGAGAUUGGAAUUCCUGGUGUAGCGGUGGAAUGCGCAGAUAUCAGGAGGAACACCGAUGGCGAAGGCAGAUCUCUGGGCCGUAACUGACGCUGAGGAGCGAAAGCAUGGGGAGCAAACAGG
rnacentral:rRNA from 1 species